GGGCACGUGGCGGAAUUGGUAUACGCGUACGUCUCAGAAGCGUAUGGGGUAACCCAUGGGAGUUCAAGUCUCCCCGUGCCCACCA
rnacentral:tRNA from 1 species